rnacentral:rRNA from 1 species
AAACUUAAAUGAAUUGACGGGGACCCGCACAAGCGGUGGAUGAUGUGGAUUAAUUCGAUGCAACGCGAAAACCUUACCUACCCUUGACAUGUCCAGGAGCCUGAAGAGAUUUGGGUGUGCCCGAAAGGGAACUGGAACACAGGUGCUGCAUGGCUGUCGUCAGCUCGUGUCGUGAGAUGUUGGGUUAAGUCCCGCAACGAGCGCAACCCUUGUCGUUAAUUGCCAUCAUUUAGUUGGGCACUUUAACGAGACUGCCGGUGACAAACCGGAGGAAGGUGGGGAUGACGUCAAGUCCUCAUGGCCCUUAUGGGUAGGGCUUCACACGUCAUACAAUGGUCGGUACAAAGGGUUGCCAAGCCGCGAGGUGGAGCCAAUCCCAGAAAGCCGAUCGUAGUCCGGAUUGCAGGCUGCAACUCGCCUGCAUGAAGUCGGAAUCGCUAGUAAUCGUGGAUCAGCAUGUCACGGUGAAUACGUUCCCGGGUCUUGUACACACCGCCCGUCACACCAUGGGAGCGGGUUCCGCCAGAAGUAGGUAGCCUAACCGCAAGGAGGGCGCUUACCACGGCGGGGUUCGUGACUGGGGUGAAGUCGUAACAAGGUAGCCGUAGGGGAACCUGCGGCUGGAUCACCUCCUUUAUG